rnacentral:rRNA from 1 species
UAGCACGGGGGAGCUUGCUCCCUGGGUGACGAGCGGCGGACGGGUGAGUAAUGUCUGGGAAACUGCCUGAUGGAGGGGGAUAACUACUGGAAACGGUAGCUAAUACCGCAUAAUGUCGCAAGACCAAAGAGGGGGACCUUCGGGCCUCUUGCCAUCAGAUGUGCCCAGAUGGGAUUAGCUAGUAUGUGGGGUAACGGCUCACCUAGGCGACGAUCCCUAGCUGGUCUGAGAGGAUGACCAGCCACACUGGAACUGAGACACGGUCCAGACUCCUACGGGAGGCAGCAGUGGGGAAUAUUGCACAGUGGGCGCAAGCCUGAUGCACCCAUGCCGCGUGUAUGAAGAAGGCCUUCGGGUUGUAAAGUACUUUCAGCGAGGAGGAAGGCGGUGAGGUUAAUAACCACAGCGAUUGACGUUACUCGCAGAAGAAGCACCGGCUAACUCCGUGCCAGCAGCCGCGGUAAUACAGAGGGUGCAAGCGUUAAUCGGAAUUACUGGGCGUAAAGCGCACGCACGCGGUCUGUCAAGUCAGAUGUGAAAUCCGCGGGCUCAACCUGAGAACUGCAUUCGAAACUGGCGCGCUAGAGUCUUGUAGAGGGGGGU